GGGAGAAGGCCUUUGCAAAGUUGCUGUGUCAUUGCCCUCCCUGCUGCAGCCACCCGGGCGGGGCUGCAUGUACUUUGGGGGGCCAGGACCGGAUCCCAGGUGGGCUGGGGGUGGGGCGCCGGGGGACUCUGUUUUCCCUGCGCGCACUUCCCUCCGGGGGGUCUGUCCUCCUCGGGUGGUCCUGAAGACCGGAGGCUGGCGGCCAUGUUAGAUUCUUCACUGCAGCGGCCUCYCUGCCAAGAACAGCAUUCCGCCCUGCGUCCUGCAGCCACACCCCUGGCGAGCCGCGCCUGGCUACGCCCACGCGACCCCUCCCGUUCGGCCAAUGGAGAACCACGAAUGGCACUACCAGCCCAAGCUUGGCAGUCGGGAGUUACUUCGUGCUUGGGAAAACUUAGUUGGAAGAGGAGGCGGGGAGAAGGUGYUGGAGGCCGUGGGGAGAUGGCCCUUGCACCUAUUCCAACCUCCCUGUUUCCCUGGAGUCGCCGAACCACAGCGCAACCAAGCGGCUCAGAUAUGGCGGGUUGCCUAUUCCCUGUGAGUCUAUGCGGCACUCUUCUGCCUGGUGACUGACGACUUGGAAAUGAAGUUUGUGACGUCAUCGCUUCGACAGACCAAUAGAAGRAGCUCCCGCGGAGAUGGGAUCCACCUCCUUCGACUUUGCUACUUCACGCGCGUGAGCGAGCGAGCGCGCGCGGAGGGGGUGGGGAAAUUCUGGAGCAGGGUGGCGCGCAUGAGCAACGAAGCUCCUCCUCCCCGCCUAUAUAUAAAGGGCUGGCGCGGGGCUCGGCGGCGCCAUUUCGCGCUGGAGUGGAGCAGCCUCUAGAACGACCUGGAGGAUUCUGCUUACCGAUACAGAGCCUUUGACUCGUCGGGGGCCGCCAUUACAAUCCACGUCCAUCCGUUUGGAAAUGGCCUUCGUCUCGGCCUAUGACCGGUCCCGGCGGACAGUACAGACCCCAUAGAAGCCCCUGAAGCUCCCCUUUUUCGGGCCCCGCCCAAUUGUCGGAGUCUGUCCACCCCCUCUACUCCGCCCUCAAGAGGAUUUCAAAGAUGGAGGCGGCGGCUUCCUAAACCACUUUUCGUGUUCAUCCGCCUCCAUCCGAGGUCGAAACGGGAUCUUGUCCAACCCGUACGGUCCCGACAGGAAGAGGGGACCCCUGCAAACCAACAGCGGGCUGUAUUGACGACGGUGUCUAGGAUCGGGGACUGUCUUUGGUUUUGGAGAGUCUACCCUCCUUCUCGUACGCCGGUCUCUGCUGAGGCCGCCGCCAUUUUCUUGCUGUCCGCUGCCUGCGGAGCGCGCCAAGCUGCCGGGAGUCCUGCGAGAGGCCGCGCGGAGGAGACUGCUYGUGCCGGCCCAGCGGGGAGAUUGUCGCCUGGAGGGCCAAGGGCAACGGCCUCCCCCCCACUUCCCGGGUUAUGCUGGACCGGGCGGUGAGGGGAUCCGAGGCCACCCGGACUUUUCGCGGCUGAAGGCAGC
rnacentral:lncRNA from 1 species